UCAUUGGGCGCCGCCAAUUUCUUUCAGGGGCCUGGAGUGCAGGGAGGUGCUGUGGCGCUGAGCUGCAGAGAAAGCGCGGCGGGCGGGGUAGCCGUCGGCUGUACUGCUAACGUCAUGCUCACUCGGGGUUGCGGUGAGCCAUUGGCUACACGAUUGUACUACAGUCUUGUGACUCUGCUAGGCAUGGGGUUAUAGCGCGGAAAGUGUAUAGAAAGCAUUCUACAAGGCUUGCUCUACAAUGCACUGUGGGUAGCAGGCAGUCCACUAUACACAGGGUGCACUGUGUAUACACUCAUAUUAGUUAACACUGUGCAGUAUAUACAAAGCUGCUACAGAUUAGUGUAGAGAAAACAUACAAGGCUUGCUACAGUUUGCACCGUAUACAUGUGUAUAGAAAGCAUGGUCCUUAUACAUAGCGAUUUGCUAUGGAAAUGCAGAAGGCACUUACCGAAUACACAGUGCAUAUAGAUUUGUUACAAAUACAAACUGCAUAAAAAGCACUCAAAAGUAAGACUUGUUACAGAACGUACUACCUAGAAACCACGCUAACAUGUAGGAGUUAUUGACGCAAAAACACUGCAGACGAAUAUAGGAGGCUCUGCUCAGUUGAUAUUAAACUCCCGAUUUUUUUUUAAAUGCCUCGGGAAAAUCAGUCUCCCUUUUAUUGCAAAAGACAUUCACGCUACCAUCUCCCUGACUAGGACUUUUCAACCAGCCUAUGUCGGAAAGGGCUUUCCUCUCAGUUUAAUAUUCCUGGCGAGUAGGCUGGGAAGCUCAAUAAAAAAGGAAGAUGUAUCCGAGUACCUCGGAGUGAAACGGGACAUCUCUUCCUCCCUCCCCACCGAACGUCAACUUUUGCCACGUAAUUGGUUUGAAACAAACUUUGGGUCCUUGCUUGCUGCACCGCGUAACUAGCGGAGGGUCGCUAGGGUGUGUUACUUUGCAACACAAAGCGCGGGUGGCUAAAGGGAUCGGGUUUUGGGGGCGGGGGGGCAGAGGAGGGAAGAAAGAAAGAACCAUUUGCCCUCUCGGCGGGCGGCUCCUGCACAGCAAAGGGCCUCCCGGUCCCGCGCCGCCUGCACCAUGCGCCCGUCUCCCGGAGCUUUCCAAUAAGGCCUAGUAGAUCACAGAGACUUGGCAGCCGGUCAAGGUCUUGUGAUACGAUUAGCAAAGCCAAUUUCUUCUCCUUUGACUUGGAGCCCCAACGCCCGUCCCUUGGCAGCAGCAGCGCAGGGCGGGAACGGGGACACAGGCGCUCGCAGCCUGGGCCGCUCGCUCGGUGCCCUUCCCCUGGCGGAGUGCGCGAGGGGGGGGGGGCCGCCGCCCGGGGAAGUGCAGCCGAGCUGUGGCUGCAGAGCGGCCCCAGGCUCGAGCGCUGCUGGCUUGUGCAGCAGGGAGGAAGGAAGCCAGCGCUAGGGCUCUCGUCUCAGCACCUCCUCCCUCCUAAAGAGCCCUUGUCUGGACAGUAGCUGGGACGGGGGGACGAAGUGGUGGUUAGAAGGAGUGAACGCCCAAAAAGGGAGCCGCCCCCCCCCCCGAGAAACAGCGGAUGUUUUUAACCACACUGUACACUGCAGGUAACCCCGCUUGCGCCCCCCCCCGCAACAUUCAUAAAUCUGGCCUGACUCCGACAUCCAGGCUUGUAUAAACACGUUCAACAGCACGAUUCUGCAUUCCCAAUACUUGCGUUUGCUAACAGUUGGAACAUAUGCAAGGGGAAAAUGGAUGCAGGUGUAAAAGUUUCCCUGCAUUUUAUGGGUUACAAAAGCAGUGCAGACGUUUGAUCCUCUUUCGGUUCUUUCUAAGCUGGGAUGUCAAGCCCUGAAAAUCCGAGGCUGCAAGUCUGCCCAUGUCAGCAGGAAACCUGCACUUUGCCAAGAAAUUUACCAAAGGAAAAGCAACUUCAAUGGCGUUUUAUUGGGACAUUUUGCGCCGGGUCUUCACACCAGUUUUUCGCAAAACGGCUCAUGCCUCCAUUUGGCUUCCUCCUCAGUGUGACUGUGUCCAGCCCCGCGGAGAAAUGCACUUCUGGGAGCGGCUGCAGUUUAGCAACGUCUCAGCGCAGCAGCACAGUUCCUCCUCCUGCAACAGGGUGCGAUAUUUCACCCCAUUGCUCAAGCUGUUAAAAGGUCACAGUUGCUAACAGCGUGUUAAUAAAUUAUAAAGAACGAGAAACUCUAACGUGGGCCAUUUACGUUUAAAAAUAAGAUACCCGAGAAGAAAUUGGAGCCGAGAGGGAAAAAAGCACCACAUCAAAUUCCUUUCUGUACCACAGUCCUUCAUGGGACAAAUCUCUAACACACCAAAUGCACCUUUUAAACUAAUCUACUUGGCAGCGCUUUCUACCUCGCGGCUGAGAAGCUGCGUUGCUAAAUUGGAGGUGGACGUGACAUGCUGACAUUUAGUCUCGCAGUGGUUUUAUGGUAAUAUGUCACCCUCUAGUGCCUCAACCCUGCGAAGGCAACCCAGUUAGAGGAGGCAACAAUAUUCUAUUAUAUUCACCAGAACCCAAACAAAACUUAAGUUUUCCUUUAAUAUUUUUCUGCAGUUCUGUGAAAACAUUACAGUUGUGAGUGACUUACCACAUAAUGAGAAAUGGGGAAAAAUUUAAAUUGGGAUUAACAUUAUAUAUUUCCAAUAAUGUGUAUUUUCUCCUUGCAUUUGGUUUCACGCUAAUGUGGUUAGUUCAAUCGUCCCUCUCCUCCCCCUACUGAAAAACUAAACCGUGUAAUAAGAUUUGAAAACACCAUCUUGGUGGCAGAUCCUGCCCCUUAGUUACCAUUCUAAAUACAUAGUUUAUGAAGAUAAUCAUGCAAAAAAACAGUGUAUAAUCAGCCUCUGAACAACAAAUACAUUGACUUAGAUCAAAUACAUCACAGAUAAGUACUCUCUACUAGACUUUGCUAAUCCUGUUCCGCAGCUGCUGUUUAAGGUUUAAAGGUUUCUGAUUUAGUAGUUAUACAGUAACCCAAGUCACCAACAAUAUGUGGUGAAAUGUAUGCAAGAUGAUGUAAAAUUAUUUGCUCUCUAUAAACUAAGAGAUAUUACUUAAAGUUACACGUUUAAAAACAUUGAUAAGGAAGAUUAAGAUUUAAAGUAAUUUUGUUCACUGAUUAACCAUGUUCUGGAGGCUUACAAAGUUACUUAUGUUCUGUUAUAAAUCUUGUGGAUAUACUAUACUGUGCUGUUAAAAGUUGUCUUACUCAUUUUGAUACCAUUCAAACUACCAAACUCCACACAAGAAGAGCAGCAGUGAAAGAUUUUUGAAAUUCAGAGGGAUUAAUUUCUAUUUGUAUUAUACCAUAAAAAGUGAAUAGCUACACCAGAUGUUAAAAAAAAGUUGGAAAGGUGUGCAGAGUGACAGUUGCUAACUAUUAGUGUUGAACAAAUGUACUUAUGAACAGCUGAGAUAAAAUGUAUGCUAUUAAUCUAAUGAACAAAACAGCUUUUUCAUAAAAUAUAUUUAUGAUGAUUAA